AAGGUCCAAAAAAGACACCAUUUAAGUGAAAGCAAGAAUCAGUUGGAAAAAAAUAUAGAAAGUAUCUUUGGCUGUUGCCAUUUUAGAAACCAGCAGUUCAAUUCCAUUAUUGACAAAAGGUCUAAAGAUUAACUAAGACAUGCGAAUAUUUAGAAAACCAGCGGUCUAACCAAAAUGUUUGUCUUAGUUGGUCUAUUUUCGAAAGACUUGAAUUAUACAUGCAGAUUGUUUUGUCAGUACAUUGGAAAAGUGGAUCUUGAGAAUUUUUGAAAUUAAUUGGUCAACACAAUCAAGAAAAACGUUAUAUCGGCUGCCCUUAGGCUAUAAUAAACUUCACAGGAUUAAAUCUAUGCCAAAUUUCGUUAAGAAAUAUUGUCAAAUCAUCAGUUUGUAUGGCAGUGGUCCGAUAUCAGCGGUUCCUGCAAAUGAGCAGCGUCUUGAUGAGAAAUACAGAUGUGUGCAAAAGUUUAAAUCGGUAUAUCAACAUUUAAAAGACUGGUUAGCGUAUAUACAUACAGACAGAAGGACAGUAUGUUAGGAAAGGUUAAGUGGAGGUAGAAUCAAAUAUUAAAUAAUCUAGUAUGGUAUGGGAGUACUUCGAAUAUAAUCGAAGACUCUCUCUUGAAAAUUACAGACGAUUUGAAUCGAUAUAAAAAGUGAACACAUAGCACAAAGUUCGAUGUUUGGUUUGUCUCUAGUUUCAAAUCUCUGGUUUUUAGUAUCGUUUAAUUAUUAGUCCUCAAAUUCGAUAUUAAAUGAGUAUUUUUCCAAAAUGCCUCGUGCGAAGAUAGCACUUUCAAACGGUUGGGGACUAAACCUUACAAAUUUACUAAAUUAAACCUGAAAUAAAUUAUUUCUUUAAUUACAAAACGACAAACAAUACAUAUUUUGAUAUGUAAGUAGGUUUUAAUUUGAGCAAAAAAAAAAACAAAAAAAUUGCAAAUAUUCAUUAUCAUAAAAAAUCGGAAUUAACCAAUCAUCAUGAAUGCUUAGAUCAUCGAAAAAGGACUAACAUGACAUUAUCUUUUGUAUGCCGAUUCUAAAUUAUUGAUUAUUUCAUUUUAAAAUCGCAACAAUAAUCAUUAUUUACAGUCCGUGCUUACAGCAGCUCAAUGGAACGUAUAUUGGUUAUAUGUCGUGAAAAAUAAAAAGUCAAUGUUAAAACAUAUCUUACAUAAAA